rnacentral:rRNA from 1 species
GACGAACGCUGGCGGCGUGCUUAACACAUGCAAGUCGAACGGAAAGGCCCUGCUUUUGUUGGGUGCUCGAGUGGCGCACGGGUGAGUAACACGUGAGUAACCUGUCCUUGACUUUGGGAUAACUUCAGGGAACUGGGGCUCAUACCGGAUAGAAGCUCCUGCUGCAUGGUGGGGGUUGGUAAGAUUCGGCGGUUGGGGAUGGACUCGCGGCUUAUCAGCUUGUUGGUGGGGUAGUGGCUUACCAAGGCUAUGACGGGUAGCCGGCCUGAGAGGGUGACCGGGCACAUUGGGCCUGAGGUACGGCCCAGACGCCUACGGGAGGCAGCAGGGGGAAAUAUUGCGCAAUGGGCGGAAGCCUGAUGCAGCAAUGCCGCGUGCGGGAUGACGGCCUUCGGGUUGUAAACCGCUUUCGCCUGUGACGAAGAGUGAGUGACGGUAAUGGGUAAAGAAGCAACGGCUAACUACGUG